rnacentral:rRNA from 1 species
CCGGUGACAAACCGGAGGAAGGUGGGGAUGACGUCAAGUCAUCAUGGCCCUUACGGCCAGGGCUACACACGUGCUACAAUGGUCGGUACAAAGGGUUGCCAAGCCGCGAGGUGGAGCUAAUCCCAUAAAACCGAUCGUAGUCCGGAUCGCAGUCUGCAACUCGACUGCGUGAAGUCGGAAUCGCUAGUAAUCGUGAAUCAGAAUGUCACGGUGAAUACGUUCCCGGGCCUUGUACACACCGCCCGUCACACCAUGGGAGUGG